rnacentral:tRNA from 1 species
GGGCCCGUAGCUCAGCCAGGCAGAGCGGCGGACGCUGGGGGAUGUUUCCAGCGGCCGAUGCUCCAGAUCCAGUGCUAUGGGUCAGACGACCUUUACGGGAUGAGAUAGGUCUGGAGGGAGUGACCCGUAGGUCAGGGGUUCGAAUCCCCUCGGGCCCA